rnacentral:rRNA from 1 species
AGAGUUUGAUCCUGGCUCAGGAUGAACGCUGGCGGCGUGCCUAAUACAUGCAAGUCGAACGAAUCUCUUUUAGAGAUGAGUGGCGAACGGGUGAGUAAUACAUAGGUAACCUGCCCCUGUGCGGGGGAUAACAGGAGGAAACUCCUGCUAAUACCGCAUAGCCAUGAGCACCGCAUGGAGCUCAUGCCAAAUAUCCUUUAUGGGAUAGCGCAGGGAUGGACCUAUGGCGCAUUAGCUGGUUGGCGGGGCAACGGCCCGCCAAGGCAACGAUGCGUAGCCGGCCUGAGAGGGCGGACGGCCACAUUGGGACUGAGACACGGCCCAGACUCCUACGGGAGGCAGCAGUAGGGAAUUUUCGGCAAUGGGGGAAACCCUGACCGAGCAACGCCGCGUGAGCGAAGAAGGCCUUCGGGUCGUAAAGCUCUGUUGUAAAGGAAGAACGGCGCAUACAGGAAAUGGUAUGCGAGUGACGGUACUUUACCAGAAAGCCACGGCUAACUACGUGCCAGCAGCCGCGGUAAUACGUAGGUGGCGAGCGUUAUCCGGAAUCAUUGGGCGUAAAGAGGGAGCAGGCGGCCGCAAGGGUCUGUGGUGAAAGACCGAAGCUAAACUUCGGUAAGCCAUGGAAACCGGGCGGCUAGAGUGCGGAAGAGGAUCGUGGAAUUCCAUGUGUAGCGGUGAAAUGCGUAGAUAUAUGGAGGAACACCAGUGGCGAAGGCGACGGUCUGGGCCGCAACUGACGCUCAUUCCCGAAAGCGUGGGGAGCAAAUAGGAUUAGAUACCCUAGUAGUCCACGCCGUAAACGAUGGUCACUAAGUGUCGGGGGUCAAACCCCGGUGCUGCAGUCAACGCAAUAAGUGACCCGCCUGAGUAGUACGUUCGCAAGAAUGAAACUCAAAGGAAUUGACGG